CCUGGGACUCGCGUCCCAGGCUGUCACAUAUCGUCGCUUUGCGACU
rnacentral:sRNA from 1 species